rnacentral:pre_miRNA from 14 species
UCUUUGGAGAUGAGGGUGGUCGCCAAUCCUGAACAAGCCUCCAAAUGAAAGACCCCCGGAGCGGGCAGACCCUCACUCAAGUCUCAGGAUGACGAGACCCUCCCAAGAACUCACACAAGACC